GCUCCAGAAGUACAGCUCCUUACUCGAGGAAUGUAGGCUGCGGUUGUCCAGAGCCGAUGAUGAAACGGGCUAUUUCUGCCCCGGGACAUCAGCAGGCCUCCGGCACCGGCUCCAGGAACACACACUCGCGGGUUUUGAAUGUUUCCCUAAACAGACGCUCUCCUUCCCACCUUGGGAGAUUUGUAUUUGGAUCUAGGUGGCCGGAUAGUUUUAAAACACUCUGGACGGAGUUGGAACCGGGGUGAGGGUCUACUCGGGAGCAAUUUCGCACUCCCCAAGUUAUCUCUUACCCGCGCGGUCUGGAUGUAAAAAUAGCUGCUGAGGCUGUUUGUUUAAUCUGACUGUUACUUGACACCACGCGGGUGUUGCAGUGUGGACUGCUUGCCUCUUCCACACCAAGAGCACCAUUCGACUUCCCCGGCCGGGUCUCUGUUUGGGUAAGCUUCACAAACUUCCAGGUCUGCCGGCUCCGGGCACCGGUUUGGCUCGGGUGGGAGGUCUGUGAGCCGUCGGAGGUGGGAGUCUCGAAUCCAUUCUCCUCUUAUCUCUGGGCAGUCCAGCUAAAGACAGAAAAAGAAGGAAGAAGUGAGGCUGUGGGCAGAGCCGGGCAGCUGGGAAAGCCGGGCUUGCUGGUUCCUGCGGAGGCCUGCCGAGCAAGCCGGGGGCACGUGUGCAGAAGAUGAACAGUGAUGACACCAAAUCUAAGCAUGAAAAGAAGUUUGGAAACUACAGAUCUUAAAACCCGGCAAGGCAGGCCCCCGCAGCCCCCGCUGCUGUAACAGAAAAUCACUUUGUAGUUGUAUCCAGUCAACAAGGGGCUCUAAUCUUGUGGGAAGAGGACCGCAUUGAACUUUUGCCAGAAUCCUAACCGGAGGGCCCCACCAGCGGGCGAGGACAGUCCUCUCCAGAAGAUGCAGGGGAACAAGAAGUGCACAGACGGGCUCAGUGACUCCUCGAGCAUUGGCAGCGUGCUGGAUGACGCGGACAGGGAGGUGAGCAGCCUCACGGACAGGGCAUUCCGAAGCUUGUGCAUCUCAGAGGACACUUCUUUCCAUGACUCGGACCUAGCCCGAUCCCCGGAUAUCACCCGCCAGGUGUUUGGGACUUUUCAGGGAACAGUGAGCCACGCACACAGGAAAAGUGGCAUUUGGAGCCAGUUACCAUCACAGAGCACAGAGCACGCCGGCUGGGCAUCCACCUUCCAACAACUACCCAAGUAUGUCCAAGGGGAGGAAAAAUACCCCAAAAGCAGCCCCCCACCUACGCCAGCUCAGCAGAGACUGGAAGUGCCAGUUUCCGGCCUGAGGAGCAGCAACAAACCCAUUUCCAAAGUAUCGUCGUUAAUUA